rnacentral:lncRNA from 1 species
CUGUGCGUCUGACAGCGCAGGUCCAGCAGCGUGGGCCCCAGGAAGGCGAUGCACAGGCCGAAGCUGAAGAAGACGCUCCAGUAGGUCUUCUGGUAAUGACAGGAGCCAUGACAUCAUUUCCACUGGCCCACCAGGGGGACCAGGGCUGAAAAGACUGAGGAGGGUCUGGCUCUGUAACCCAGGCUUGAAUGCAGUGGCAUGAUGGGUGCAAUCUUGUUACCUGUUACUGGUCUCUUCAGGUUUUCUUUUUGGCUCAAUCUUGAGAUGGAGGCUCGUUUUGUUGCCCAGGCUGGAGUGCAGUG